rnacentral:piRNA from 1 species
UGCCUGUGGAUCCCGUUCCUCACACUGGGC